UUUAGGCUCAGUAACACGUCGGUAACCUGCCCUAAGGUCAGGCAUAACCUCGCGAAAGUGAGGGUAAAACCUGAUAGGGAAGAUUUUCUGGAAAGAUGUCUUCUCAGAAACUCGUGCCUUAGGAUGGGCCGGCGGCAGAUUAGGCUGUUGGCGGUGUAAUGGACCACCAAACCGAAGAUCUGUACGGGCCAUGAGAGUGGGAGCCCGGAGAGGGACACUGAGAUACUGGUCCCAGCCCUACGGGGUGCAGCAGGCGCGAAACCUUUUCAAUGCGCGCAAGCGUGAAAAGGGAAUUCCAAGUGCUCAAGUUUUACUUGGGCUUUUGUCAAGUGUAAAAAGCUUGGCGAAUAAGGGGUGGGCAAGACUGGUGCCAGCCGCCGCGGUAACACCAGCGCCUCGAGUGGGGAUCGCGAUUAUUGGGUCUAAAGCGUCCGUAGCAGGCAUUGUAAAUGCUUUGUGAAAUCGGCAGGCAUAACCUGCCGGCGUGCAGAGUAGACUGCAGUGCUCGAGACCGGGAGAUGUUAGAAGUAUUCCUUGGGUACCGGUAAAAUGGGUUAAUCCAGGGAGGACUACCUAUGGCGAAGGCAUCUGACAAGAACGGUUCUGACUGUGAGGGACGAAAGCUAGGGGAGCAAAACGGAUUAGAUACCCGAGUAGUCCUAGCCGUAAACGCUGCGAGCAAGGUAUUGCGUAUCCCACGAGGAUGCGCAGUGUCGAAACGAAGGUGUUUAAGCU
rnacentral:rRNA from 1 species